rnacentral:tRNA from 1 species
GCGGACGUGGCGGAAUUGGUAGACGCGCCAGGUUUAGGACCUGGUACCCGAAAAGGUGUGUGGGUUCGAUUCCCACCGUCCGCA